rnacentral:rRNA from 1 species
GGAAGGAAGCCCGAUGGAGGGGGAUAACUACUGGAAACGGUAGCUAAUACCGCAUAACGUCGCAAGACCAAAGAGGGGGCCUUCGGGCCUCUUGCCAUCGGAUGUGCCCAGAUGGGAUUAGCUAGUAGGUGGGGUAACGGCUCACCUAGGCGACGAUCCCUAGCUGGUCUGAGAGGAUGACCAGCCACACUGGAACUGAGACACGGUCCAG